rnacentral:snoRNA from 1 species
GUUGCUUCUCAAGAUUUUAGAGAGCGGCCUCGGAGUUCAAUCUGGGCUUUGUUUGUAGAGAGAGAAGCAUAGAUCGAUGGUUAAAUCAGCCAGUAUUAAACAGCACGAUGAUUUGUUUCUCUGUCAUCGUGUUACCUGUCUCCUGGCAUAUUU